rnacentral:tRNA from 1 species
GGAUUAUGGCUCAGUGGUAGAGUGCUUGCCUAGCAUGCAUGAGGCACUGGGUUCAAUCCACAGCACCA